UUUGGCAAGUAAACCCGUAAAACAGAGGUACCCAGGCACCGUGACAAGCUGCUGCAUUUGAUGCUGCUUAUCGGACUAAACCCUAUCAAUGCAUUUUGAGAGUAACGGAUAAAUCUAACCGGUGUUUUAUUCAUUGCAAUGAUUUUGACCACUAGGAAGAAUUCAGUAACACACUGAUUCCAGCCAGACCUUGACAUGAAUGCCCACGCCAUGUGGUCGUCGCCAUGGCUGUUUGUAUCCGCCGUAGCGGUAGCGUUGUUGCUAAUGCAGUGUGAAGGAGGGAAUGGCGGCAACUCCUCGAGACAGCGACCAACUGGCCGGCCCACUCACACAGGCGAAGAUGAGCCCGCGCAAAACACAGAAUCGACCACAACGCCGCCACCACUGCAGCCGUCGUGCGUCCAGCAACGCCGGACUCCCAGCCUGAAAGAGUUCUGCGCGCAGAUUUUCCGCUUCGUGGCUGACGCAGUUCUGGAUGUUUUCUUCACGGAUAUUCUUGGCUUGACGGGAAGAUUCUAAAGGUACGCAAGACGAGUAUCUCCUUCAUGGGAAUCAAAUUUCAUGCGGAAAGUGCAAGUUCGCUUAGGAACUCCACGCAACGCCUCUACAAGAAGUCUUAAGAAGAACGGCGAGCCAUCCUUCAUUGCGCCACUGAGAAGUGAAGUAGCGUAAAAUUCUGACAGAAGCCACAAAAAUCGUCACAUAAUGAGGAGCUAUUAUUUUUUUGUGUGUGUGUGGACGCUUAGCUGCAAUAAAUGACUGAGCAGUAGAAAA